rnacentral:lncRNA from 1 species
AGGGGCAUUAGCAGUAUGGUCAGGUGCUGCAUCCACAAGCCCACGAGCCAGGAGCAUGCUGUGAAGGUCAUCGACGUCACCAGUGGAAGCAGCUUCACCCCCGAGGAGGUGCAGGAGCUGCAAGAAGCCACACUGAAGGAGGUUGACAUCCUGCACAAGGUCUCAGGGCACCUCAACAUCAGUACAGCUGAGGGACACUUAUGAGACCAACAGUUUCUUCUUC